AGACCCGAAACCCGGUGAUCUAGCCAUGGGCAGGUUGAAGGUUGGGUAACACUAACUGGAGGACCGAACCGACUAAUGUUGAAAAAUUAGCGGAUGACCUGUGGCUGGGGGUGAAAGGCCAAUCAAACCGGGAGAUAGCUGGUUCUCCCCGAAAGCUAUUUAGGUAGCGCCUCGUGAAUUCAUCUCCGGGGGUAGAGCACUGUUUCGGCUAGGGGGCCAUCCCGGCUUACCAACCCGAUGCAAACUGCGAAUACCGGAGAAUGUUAUCACGGGAGACACACGGCGGGUGCUAACGUCCGUCGUGAAGAGGGAAACAACCCAGACCGCCAGCUAAGGUCCCAAAGUCAUGGUUAAGUGGGAAACGAUGUGGGAAGGCCCAGACAGCCAGGAUGUUGGCUUAGAAGCAGCCAUCAUUUAAAGAAAGCGUAAUAGCUCACUGGUCGAGUCGGCCUGCGCGGAAGAUGUAACGGGGCUAAACCAUGCACCGAAGCUGCGGCAGCGAACGUAUCACCCAAGACAACUUUACGGAGUUGACGAUUGACGGAGCGAAGCGACGUCAAAGCGUUCAUUAAAGUCGAGUUGGCUUAGGGAUACGUUCGUUGGGUAGGGGAGCGUUCUGUAAGCCUG
rnacentral:rRNA from 4 species